rnacentral:tRNA from 1 species
GUAAAAUUAGUUUAAUUAAAAUAGUAAAUUGUGGUUUUACAGAUAAUAUAUGUGUAUAUAUUUUACU